AUACGGAGGGUGCAAGCGUUAAUCGGAAUUACUGGGCGUAAAGCGUACGUAGGCGGUUUAUUAAGUCAGAUGUGAAAGCCCCGGGCUUAGCCUGGGAACUGCAUUUGAAACUAGUAGACUAGAGUAUGGUAGAGGGGGGUAGAAUUCCUAGUGUAGCGGUGAAAUGCGUAGAUAUUAGGAGGAAUACCAGUGGCGAAGGCGGCCCCCUGGACCAAUACUGACGCUGAGGUACGAAAGCGUGGGGAGCGAACAGGAUUAGAUACCCUAGUAGUCC
rnacentral:rRNA from 1 species